UAAGCCGUUGAAGGUGGCCUGUGAGGGUUGCUGGAGGUAUCAGAAGUGCGAAUGCUGACAUAAGUAACGAUAAAGCGGGUGAAAAGCCCGCUCGCCGGAAGACCAAGGGUUCCUGUCCAACGUUAAUCGGGGCAGGGUGAGUCGACCCCUAAGGCGAGGCCGAAAGGCGUAGUCGAUGGGAAACGGGUUAAUAUUCCCGUACUUGGUGUUACUGCGAAGGGGGGACGGAGAAGGCUAUGUUGGCCGGGCGACGGUUGUCCCGGUUUAAGCGUGUAGGUGUGUGUUCCAGGUAAAUCCGGUUCACUUUAACACUGAGGCGUGAUGACGAGGCACUACGGUGCUGAAGCAACAAAUGCCCUGCUUCCAGGAAAAGCCUCUAAGCCUCAGGUAACAUCAAAUCGUACCCCAAACCGACACAGGUGGUCAGGUAGAGAAUACCAAGGCGCUUGAGAGAACUCGGGUGAAGGAACUAGGCAAAAUGGUGCCGUAA
rnacentral:rRNA from 1 species